rnacentral:rRNA from 1 species
AUGGGAACGCGAAGAACCUUACCUAGACUUGACAUCUUCUGCAUUAAUCGUAAUGGAUGAAAUCCCUUCGGGGACAGAAUGACAGGUGGUGCAUGGUUGUCGUCAGCUCGUGUCGUGAGAUGUUGGGUUAAGUCCCGCAACGAGCGCAACCCCUAUUAUUAGUUGCUAACAUUAAGUUGAGCACUCUAGUGAGACUGCCCGGGUUAACCGGGAGGAAGGUGGGGAUGACGUCAAAUCAUCAUGCCCCUUAUGUCUAGGGCAACACACGUGCUACAAUGGUGAGUACAGAUAGAUGCGAUACCGCAAGGUGGAGCCAAACUCUAAAACUCAUCCCAGUUCGGAUUGUAGGCUGCAACUCGCCUACAUGAAGUUGGAGUUGCUAGUAAUCGCGAAUCAGAAUGUCGCGGUGAAUACGUUCCCGGGUCUUGUACACACCG